rnacentral:rRNA from 1 species
UACGGAGGGUGCGAGCGUUAAUCGGAAUUACUGGGCGUAAAGAGUGCGUAGGUGGUUGAAUAAGUUAUCUGUGAAAUCCCUGGGCUUAACCUGGGCAGGUCAGAUGAUACUGUUUGACUCGAGUAUGGGAGAGGGUAGUGGAAUUUCCGGUGUAGCGGUGAAAUGCGUAGAGAUCGGAAGGAACACCAGUGGCGAAGGCGGCUACCUGGCCUAAUACUGACACUGAGGCAAGAAAGCGUGGGGAGCAAACAGG